UUGCGUAGGCGUUGUGCAUAGC
rnacentral:miRNA from 1 species